UCUGCCCGCUGGCGGCGUGCCUAAUACAUGCAAGUCGAGCGAACAGACGAGGAGCUUGCUCCUCUGACGUUAGCGGCGGACGGGUGAGUAACACGUGGAUAACCUACCUAUAAGACUGGGAUAAAUUCGGGAAACCGGAGCUAAGACCGGAUAAUAUAUUGAACCGCAUGGUUCAAUAGUGAAAGACGGUUUUGCUGUCACUUAUAGAUGGAUCCGCGCCGCAUUAGCUAGUUGGUAAGGUAACGGCUUACCAAGGCAACGAUGCGUAGCCGACCUGAGAGGGUGAUCGGCCACACUGGAACUGAGACACGGUCCAGACUCCUACGGGAGGAAGCAGUAGGGAAUCUUCCGCAAUGGGCGAAAGCCUGACGGAGCAACGCCGCGUGAGUGAUGAAGGUCUUCGGAUCGUAAAACUCUGUUAUUAGGGAAGAACAAAUGUGUAAGUAACUAUGCACGUCUUGACGGUACCUAAUCAGAAAGCCACGGCUAACUACGUG
rnacentral:rRNA from 1 species